CACGGGAGGAGCAAGCGUUGUUCGGAAUUACUGGGCGUAAAGGGCGUGUAGGCGGUUCGGUAAGUGGAAUGUGAAAUGCCCCGGCUCACCCGGGGACCUGCAUCCCAUACUGCCGAGCUCGAGUACGGGAGAGGAUGAGGGAAUUCCUGGUGUAGCGGUGAAAUGCGUAGAUAUCAGGAGGAACACCGGUGGCGAAGGCGCUCAUCUGGCCCGAUACUGACGCUGAGGCGCGAAAGCUAGGGGAGCAAACGGG
rnacentral:rRNA from 1 species